UCCGGUUGAUCCUGCCAGAGGCCGCUGCUAUCCGGCUGGGACUAAGCCAUGCUAGUCUAGGGGCUUGUACCCCUUCGGGGGUGCAAGCACCGGCGGAAGGCUCAGUAACACGUGGACAACCUGCCCUCGGGUGGGGGAUAACCCCGGGAAACUGGGGCUAAUCCCCCACAGGUGAUGGGUGCUGGAAUGCCCCAUCUCCGAAAGCGCUCAGCGCCCGAGGAUGGGUCUGCGGCGGAUUAGGUAGUUGGUGGGGUAACGGCCCACCAAGCCUAAGAUCCGUACGGGCUGUGGGAGCAGGAGCCCGGAGAUGGACCCUGAGACAAGGGUCCAGGCCCUACGGGGCGCAGCAGGCGCGAAACCUCCGCAAUGCGGGAAACCGCGACGGGGUUAGCCGGAGUGCCCGUGCAUUGCACGGGCUGUCGGGGUGCCUAAACAGCACCCCAUAGCAAGGGCCGGGCAAGGCCGGUGGCAGCCGCCGCGGUAAGACCGGCGGCCCGAGUGGCGGCCACUCUUAUUGGGCCUAAAGCGUCCGUAGCCGGCCCAGUAAGUCCCCCGGGAAAUCUGGUCGCUUAACGAUC
rnacentral:rRNA from 1 species